rnacentral:rRNA from 1 species
GACGAACGCUGGCGGCGUGCCUAAUACAUGCAAGUCGAACGCUGAAGGAGGAGCUUGCUUCUCUGGAUGAGUUGCGAACGGGUGAGUAACGCGUAGGUAACCUGCCUGGUAGCGGGGGAUAACUAUUGGAAACGAUAGCUAAUACCGCAUAAUAGUAGAUGUCGCAUGACAUUUGCUUAAAAGGUGCAAUUGCAUCACUACCAGAUGGACCUGCGUUGUAUUAGCUAGUUGGUGAGGUAACGGCUCACCAAGGCAACGAUACAUAGCCGACCUGAGAGGGUGAUCGGCCACACUGGGACUGAGACACGGCCCAGACUCCUACGGGAGGCAGCAGUAGGGAAUCUUCGGCAAUGGACGGAAGUCUGACCGAGCAACGCCGCGUGAGUGAAGAAGGUUUUCGGAUCGUAAAGCUCUGUUGUAAGAGAAGAACGAGUGUGAGAGUGGAAAGUUCACACUGUGACGGUAUCUUACCAGAAAGGGACGGCUAACUACGUG